ensembl:lncRNA
CUCUGCUCCUGCUCCAGCGGCACAAUGUGAUUCACUGGCAAGGAAGGUCGCCAAUAAGGCAUCCGAUAAGAUAAGUCUUAUAAAAUAUAUAGGUUUAUGAUAAUUAAGACUGAACUAACAGAUGAGAAUCCUAGUCAUUGGCCAAGCAGCAUUGAACCUAAUACAAGUUUCUGUGUAUUCAUUUGGGCCUAACUCGGGCGGGCAGCUAGCAUAAAGUGCCCAUGUGGCGGUGGGGCUCAGGCAGCUUUUGGCAGAAAGAUUUAUCGUAACAUUGCCUGAUUGUUCAGUGCCAGAGGCACUGAGCAGGCUCAUGGGUAAACUUUGUCUGACCUGCUGUUGUCUUUCAUGACCCUCCAGGCCUAGUAGUAUAGUUUCUUAAAAGAAAUGCUAUUGAUGCUGCUUGAAAGAAACAAACGGAGUUAGAACAGAUUUAACCUGGGUUUGCUAGAAUAGAUCUGGUUUUACCAAGCAGGUAAGAGUUAAUUUACAAUUGUCACAUCAAAUUAUAGGCAUCUGAGGCUGGACUUGACUGUUUUUGCAGCAAUGUGCUCUGGUUGGAUGAGUAUUAUUCCUGACUUUGGGUUUUAGUUUCCUCCUAAACUGAAGGUGAUGCUCAUCCCAUGGACACAUGCAUUUAAAGACAGGUUAGGUGUGAUAUGGUGAGAAGGUUAAAAGUACCAAGUCUGGAAUCACCAUGAUCUGUACUCAGCUCCUCUAAACUCCCUUCCAUUUGCAAGGCGCACUAGCUCUCUAUGUAUUGGGAGGCCUUGCUGGCCAGAGGUUGCAGUCUACCAUAGCCCAGCAGCUUUCUCCAAAGCUCAGCAACAUGAGGACUCUCUCACUGUCCCCCAACCCACAGUGAGACUUUCUGCUCUUAUCUAGAAUGUCUCUGGGCCUGGAGGACUGACCUUAUCUGAAAGCUGUCUCUAAGCCUGGAUGUCUGGUGUAUCUCUAGGGUGACCCUUGGCAGUUUCCCGCUAGAAGCCUUUCCCCUUCUGCACAUAUAAUAACUAAGAUUUGUACUAGGGAUCUUGCUAUUGGACCCUGCUGCCAUGUAGGAAACUAUAUGUUAGGAGCAUGCCACUUGUCCCCAGUGUCCCCAAUUCUAUUUAAUCCCUACACUCUGGAAUAAAGCUGAUCUGAUUCACUGAAGUCAUCUCCCAGAGGGCUUUCUCUGUCAUACCCACAGCCAUCCAAACCCUGUCCCCCACUUCUGCUCGCUCCACCCUCUUGAACCAAUGCACCAAUGAUCCUGAGGAAGAAGCAGAGUCAUAGCAUGUGAAGUUGAGGAUCCUCAUCAAUUAAAAAUAACCACAAUAUACACUCCAGACCGUGGCUGAGAAAAAAAUCACAUCAAAUAAUCCAAAGGAAGACCUGCUACAUAACAAUACUCAUCAAACUUUCUUUGCUGUUUUUAUUUCUUAAGUACACAGAUUUGUGUGUACUUGCUUCUCCCUUCUAGAAACUUAGCUUCCUGAAGGGCAGGAACAAUGGCUGAACUGACAUCCUCACCCACCUAGUGGCACAGUCACACCCACAGCAUUGCUGCAAGGAUGGCCCAAUCAAGUCACAUGACUAAACAGCAUUCUACCUGCAAAACACAAAUACCUAACACCAUAUGCAGUUGACUGUAUCAGAAGCCCUAAGGGUGAGCCACCUGUAUUUGCAGUAGACCUCCAAGAAUUUUAAAACUUCAGCUCUGGAAUGUUUAGUGAUGAAGACAUGAACUGCACCCAUUCAGCUGAGGCUGCUGGACCAAUGAGUUUGGAAGUUUGGAUUCAGGUUCUGACCCUAACACUCACUAAGAACCCAUAAGCCUCCAUUUUCUCUUCACUUAAUGGACAUUGCAAUAAACACACACACUGGACUUUUCCUUCCUAAGGGAUUACAAGGCCUCCAAAGAUGACUAUCAGGAGUUAAAAGAUGAACACAACAAUACCUAAGCCUCACAUGGAGUUCCAGGAAUCCAUGCUGCCAAUAGUUGGCAUAUUGUUGCCAAACAAUUCUCUUAUUUCCCAGAAAAUGGUCAAAGUUUCUUCUUUGCUUGUUUGGGUUUUGUUGAUGUUGUUUUGUCUUUGCAGUUCCGAUCAUUUUAUCUUGGUCCUUUAAAAAAAAUUCAUAUGGUAUAUGAAGUAGUUAGUUAAAAUGUAGAUUCUGAAUCUUAGGUUAAAGGUAAGGACUGAGAUUGUUCAUCUAACAGGCAUAGUCACUGGUGGUGGUGUUGGCUUGUGAACCACUCUCUGAGCCAUAUGAAUCUAACCAGCAUGGUCAUUGCCCAGUUUCUACAUGAUAAGCCCCUAAUGUUUAGUUUUCAUUCUAUAACGUCCACAAAGACUCUGCAGACAGUUUGAAGAGUCUGGAAAACAUUGAGGGUUCUUAAGGGACACAAUACAAAAUAGCCUAUGUUCCAUGACAGAUGUCAGGUGGGGGUGGUUUGGGAAGAAAAUGAUCAGCCAGAGAGUUGUGGAGAUCACCAUCUUCAGAUGAUAGUCACUGAUUCAGAAAACAAUGAAGCAGCAGCAGGUAGGGGGAGGAUGGAUGCACAAUGGGACCUUGGUGCACUGCCUUCAGCUGUUCGUACAUCAAACUGAUACAUCCAAGUAUCCAUUUAGAUGCUCCAGCCUAGAUUUCAGCAAGUUCUGUGGGCAGCAGUGUGCAUGUAAGGCCCGUAUACAUCUGUCCAACAUAAACCUCUGUAGUCUUCUUUCUCUUAUAUUCAUCUUUCCCUAUUAUGAACCAUUCUGGUGGUUCUGUGGGGCUAGAGUCUGGAGGGGAAUUUAAAUAUCUCCUCACUGGAAAAUAAGUCAAGAUUUUGGAAGCAAUUGACUCUACAUAUAAACCUCAGCUCUGCCACCCACUGGCUGCAUGACCUCAAGCUUGUUGACUCACUUCUCUUGCCUUGUUUGUUACCUGUAAAAUAAGAACAAUAAUAUCUCUCCAGAUGGAGAGAAGGGACUCCAUUUAAUGUGUGUAUGCCUCUGAUGUACUUCCAUUACAUACCAUUGGUAUCCUGGACAUGCGUGUUCUCUUCCGCCUUCCACCGUCAUUGCUAUCUCAAGGCCAAGAAUUAAAUGUUUAAAUGGCAUCCAGUUUCAAUCUCUGACCUAUGCAUGCAUAUUCAUCCAUAUGUGUAUGCAUCCACACACAUGUAAACACGCAGACACAAUAUACAUGCAAAAGGAACCAUGCAUUUUUCUUCACUUUUCUCGUGACAUCUGAAUUUCUUCCUAGUUGAGUUAAACAUUCCUUCAAGUCUUCUGUUUAAUUCAGCUUCUCUCAAAAGUCAAAGUGCAUGGGCUACAGAUAAAUCCAAAUCGCUUCUGCAUUUACCAG